UGAGUUAUGUCAUGUUAUCGAUAUGUGAAUACAUAGCAUAUCAGAAGGCACACCCGGAGAACUGAAACAUCUUAGUACCCGGAGGAAGAGAAAGAAAAUUCGAUUCCCUUAGUAGCGGCGAGCGAAACGGGAAGAGCCCAAACCAACAAGCUUGCUUGUUGGGGUUGUAGGACACUCUAUACGGAGUUACAAAGGACGACAUUAGACGAAUCAUCUGGAAAGAUGAAUCAAAGAAGGUAAUAAUCCUGUAGUCGAAAAUGUUGUCUCUCUUGAGUGGAUCCUGAGUACGACGGAGCACGUGAAAUUCCGUCGGAAUCUGGGAGGACCAUCUCCUAAGGCUAAAUACUCUCUAGUGACCGAUAGUGAACCAGUACCGUGAGGGAAAGGUGAAAAGCACCCCGGAAGGGGAGUGAAAUAGAACCUGAAACCGUGUGCUUACAAGUAGUCAGAGCCCGUUAAUGGGUGAUGGCGUGCCUUUUGUAGAAUGAACCGGCGAGUUACGAUUUGAUGCAAGGUUAAGCAGUAAAUGUGGAGCCGUAGCGAAAGCGAGUCUGAAUAGGGCGUUUAGUAUUUGGUCGUAGACCCGAAACCAGGUGAUCUACCCUUGGUCAGGUUGAAGUUCAGGUAACACUGAAUGGAGGACCGAACCGACUUACGUUGAAAAGUGAGCGGAUGAACUGAGGGUAGCGGAGAAAUUCCAAUCGAACCUGGAGAUAGCUGGUUCUCUCCGAAAUAGCUUUAGGGCUAGCCUCAAGUGAUGAUUAUUGGAGGUAGAGCACUGUUUGGACGAGGGGCCCCUCUCGGGUUACCGAAUUCAGACAAACUCCGAAUGCCAAUUAAUUUAACUUGGGAGUCAGAACAUGGGUGAUAAGGUCCGUGUUCGAAAGGGAAACAGCCCAGACCACCAGCUAAGGUCCCAAAAUAUAUGUUAAGUGGAAAAGGAUGUGGCGUUGCCCAGACAACUAGGAUGUUGGCUUAGAAGCAGCCAUCAUUUAAAGAGUGCGUAAUAGCUCACUAGUCGAGUGACACUGCGCCGAAAAUGUACCGGGGCUAAACAUAUUACCGAAGCUGUGGAUUGUCCUUUGGACAAUGGUAGGAGAGCGUUCUAAGGGCGUUGAAGCAUGAUCGUAAGGACAUGUGGAGCGCUUAGAAGUGAGAAUGCCGGUGUGAGUAGCGAAAGACGGGUGAGAAUCCCGUCCACCGAUUGACUAAGGUUUCCAGAGGAAGGCUCGUCCGCUCUGGGUUAGUCGGGUCCUAAGCUGAGGCCGACAGGCGUAGGCGAUGGAUAACAGGUUGAUAUUCCUGUACCACCUAUAAUCGUUUUAAUCGAUGGGGGGACGCAGUAGGAUAGGCGAAGCGUGCGAUUGGAUUGCACGUCUAAGCAGUAAGGCUGAGUAUUAGGCAAAUCCGGUACUCGUUAAGGCUGAGCUGUGAUGGGGAGAAGACAUUGAGUCUUCGAGUCGUUGAUUUCACACUGCCGAGAAAAGCCUCUAGAUAGAAAAUAGGUGCCCGUACCGCAAACCGACACAGGUAGUCAAGAUGAGAAUUCUAAGGUGAGCGAGCGAACUCUCGUUAAGGAACUCGGCAAAAUGACCCCGUAACUUCGGGAGAAGGGGUGCUCUUUAGGGUUAACGCCCAGAAGAGCCGCAGUGAAUAGGCCCAAGCGACUGUUUAUCAAAAACACAGGUCUCUGCUAAACCGUAAGGUGAUGUAUAGGGGCUGACGCCUGCCCGGUGCUGGAAGGUUAAGAGGAGUGGUUAGCUUCUGCGAAGCUACGAAUCGAAGCCCCAGUAAACGGCGGCCGUAACUAUAACGGUCCUAAGGUAGCGAAAUUCCUUGUCGGGUAAGUUCCGACCCGCACGAAAGGCGUAACGAUUUGGGCACUGUCUCAACGAGAGACUCGGUGAAAUCAUAGUACCUGUGAAGAUGCAGGUUACCCGCGACAGGACGGAAAGACCCCGUGGAGCUUUACUGUAGCCUGAUAUUGAAAUUCGGCACAGCUUGUACAGGAUAGGUAGGAGCCUUUGAAACGUGAGCGCUAGCUUACGUGGAGGCGCUGGUGGGAUACUACCCUAGCUGUGUUGGCUUUCUAACCCGCACCACUUAUCGUGGUGGGAGACAGUGUCAGGCGGGCAGUUUGACUGGGGCGGUCGCCUCCUAAAAGGUAACGGAGGCGCUCAAAGGUUCCCUCAGAAUGGUUGGAAAUCAUUCAUAGAGUGUAAAGGCAUAAGGGAGCUUGACUGCGAGACCUACAAGUCGAGCAGGGUCGAAAGACGGACUUAGUGAUCCGGUGGUUCCGCAUGGAAGGGCCAUCGCUCAACGGAUAAAAGCUACCCCGGGGAUAACAGGCUUAUCUCCCCCAAGAGUUCACAUCGACGGGGAGGUUUGGCACCUCGAUGUCGGCUCAUCGCAUCCUGGGGCUGUAGUCGGUCCCAAGGGUUGGGCUGUUCGCCCAUUAAAGCGGUACGCGAGCUGGGUUCAGAACGUCGUGAGACAGUUCGGUCCCUAUCCGUCGUGGGCGUAGGAAAUUUGAGAGGAGCUGUCCUUAGUACGAGAGGACCGGGAUGGACAUACCUCUGGUGUACCAGUUGUCGUGCCAACGGCAUAGCUGGGUAGCUAUGUGUGGACGGGAUAAGUGCUGAAAGCAUCUAAGCAUGAAGCCCCCCUCAAGAUGAGAUUUCCCAACUUCGGUUAUAAGAUCCCUCAAAGAUGAUGAGGUUAAUAGGUUCGAGGUGGAAGCAUGGUGACAUGUGGAGCUGACGAAUACUAAUCGAUCGAAGACUUAAUCAA
rnacentral:rRNA from 1 species